rnacentral:pre_miRNA from 1 species
AUGAGGAGAUUGCCUCUGUUAGCCAAGAAUGGCUUGCCUAUCUCCACUAUUUGGUUCAUCACUGGAACACACUUGGGGUUCUCAGAUGGUGGAUGAAAUAUGGAAGAUGGUGAGCCUUCAUGGCUAAGAGAGUGAUUCUCAU